AGCAGCGGCAACUCCAGAAAUACAAAGGCAAAUGGACGGUGUUUAUGUACAGUGAGGAGAAAUAAGAGAAAUCAAUGAGCCUGUGAACGCGAGGAUGUGCUACGACAUAAACAUUGGGAUUUAUGCAGAUGUGUUCUGCGAUUGGCCUCACGUGAUGAGAGUCAAAGCAUUUCCUCCCUGGCUUGGAUCAAAUGUCUCCUUGUACUAGAAUCAUGCAUUGUCACUUGAUUAGUUGUUUAGAAUGAUGGAAUAAGAGAGAUAAAUGAGCACAAAAACAAGUUUAGUUGGUUGCUUUCGGAUCGAAGUGGUGCCCGCGCACCUUUUCUAGCCAGCCAUAUAUGGGUCACGGAAAGUUGGAGAUGCCCAGCCCGAUCUAAUUAAAAAUCAUCACAUAAGAUUGCCUCUAUCUUUCUCACUCAGGUCAACUACCUAAUAAUUAUAUAUUGUAUUUGAAAACAUGAGAUUGGAUCAACAAUUAGCUCAUUUGGACUCAAUAGAACUGCGACAUGGAUCCCAGUCUUUGUUAAUCUCCUUGUGAAGCUCGGGAUGAUGUACCGUCGCAUGAGCAAAUACUCUUUAUUUGGUUCUGCUUCAUGUGCCGGCUUCCUUUUGUAGCGAUAUUGACUGGAAACUGUGUUCUAAUCUUGUUGGGGUAGAAAUUGAAAAGAUUGAGUUUUGAUUUCCUAAAAAUGAAAUCUUCCAUUGGUUUGUUUGAUCUUAGUUUCAUGCUUUUCUUGAUUGGUGUGUAGCCGUGUAGAAAUUUCUUUACCUGUUAUAAAUUAUUAAGUCCUCCAAUUUCUUUGCUAACAUAUGGUUUACUUGUUUAUCUGAUUAUUAUUGGGAUAUACGCGUUCCUCGAUAAAACGAAAAAUAAUAUAAGAUAUAUGUAGUUAUCACAAACAUCUGGAUUAUACAUUCAGUGAUCGACAAAUUACAAAUUUACACAAUCAAAUUUCUUUCCACUAGAUUACAAAGAAAUACACCUGCGGACAAACUUACAAACUCGAAGCAGCGGCAACACUCCAGCAAUAUGAAGGAAAAUGGACGGUGUUUAUGUACAAUGAGGAGAAAGAAGAGAAAUCAAGUGAGCUAGGAUAUAAACAUUGGGAUUUAUGCAGAUGUGUCCUGCGAUUGGCCUCACCUAAUGAGAGUCAAAGCAUUUCCUCCCUGGCUUGGAUCCCAACUGAAACGGACGGCCGGUGGGGAUAUAUAUCUGGUGGACAUCCAAUCCAAACUGUGAUUUCUUUGACAUUUAUAAACCUCACUUUGAACAAGGCCGUCUCCACGAUCGGCAGCGCGUAACUGAAGAGAGACUACCGGAGAAGCCACUGGACGAGACCGUUUUGGUAGAUAACUGGGUUAUCGCCUAUGAGUUGUGCUUCAGGGCAUGCAUGGACGGCAAAGUCCCAGUUUCCUCCACAGAGACCGGCAACCCAUUGAAAGAGCCGCGCGACUGGGCCUUCAUCAUCAAGGUAGACAACAGAGUUGCCGGCCAUGAGCUGCGCUUCUGAGCACACGUCGGCGACAUGACCCCUGCUCUCGCGAGCGCAAACGUCGACUUCUCGAUCGGCGGUGCGCAUGCAGUCGGCGGCGGCAGUUCCCUCGUCUGUUUGUGGCACGCUGACUGCGUUAUCUACCAUGUCGGCGCACGGCUCAACCUCCCUUCCCUGCACGUCGGUGGACACUACAGGCUGGUCCUCCAUGAAUUUGUACGUGAACAUCACGCUCUCGAUCCCGCCCGUCGACGACGUCCCCUGCCAAGUGCCAACCAUCACGAGGAUUAACCGAUAUGAUGCACAAAGAAUUUUACAUCACGGACGCGACGGAAGAUUUGAGAGAUGGGUACCUUGCUGAUGCCUGGCCAUUGGAUGGCGCUGCUCUUGUCAACGGCGAGGGUGAUGACGACGGUGUCGCUCAUGGUCGGGGCGGCGGCUCGACCGUUGAUGGCUGACUGGAUUUCCAGGGACUCGAACUUCUUUGCUCCUAGCAGUUGUUGAAUGGCCUCCAGGGAAUCGAUCGAUCUUCUUUGCUGCUAGUCUGCUACAACUCUCUCUCUAUAUAUAUAGCCGUCUGCUUGAUAUAUUUGUUGGUGUUUCGUGUGAUCGAAGGAAGCAGAAACGUGG
rnacentral:lncRNA from 1 species